rnacentral:rRNA from 1 species
GACGUAGGGCGCGAGCGUUGUCCGGAUUUAUUGGGCGUAAAGAGCUCGUAGGCGGUUUGUCGCGUCGGCCGUGAAAACUUGGGGCUUAACUCCAAGCUUGCGGUCGAUACGGGCAGACUUGAGUUCGGCAGGGGAGACUGGAAUUCCUGGUGUAGCGGUGAAAUGCGCAGAUAUCAGGAGGAACACCGGUGGCGAAGGCGGGUCUCUGGGCCGAUACUGACGCUGAGGAGCGAAAGCGUGGGGAGCGAACAGG